GCCUCGGAUCAGGUAGGGAUACCCGCUGAACUUAAGCAUAUCAAUAAGCGGAGGAAAAGAAACCAACAGGGAUUGCCCUAGUAACGGCGAGUGAAGCGGCAACAGCUCAAAUUUGAAAUCUGGCUCUUUCAGGGUCCGAGUUGUAAUUUGCAGAGGGCGCUUUGGCUUUGGCAGCGGUCCAAGUUCCUUGGAACAGGACGUCACAGAGGGUGAGAAUCCCGUACGUGGUCGCUAGCUAUUGCCGUGUAAAGCCCCUUCGACGAGUCGAGUUGUUUGGGAAUGCAGCUCUAAAUGGGAGGUAAAUUUCUUCUAAAGCUAAAUAUUGGCCAGAGACCGAUAGCGCACAAGUAGAGUGAUCGAAAGAUGAAAAGCACUUUGGAAAGAGAGUCAAACAGCACGUGAAAUUGUUGAAAGGGAAGCGCUUGCAGCCAGACUUGCUUGCAGUUGCUCAUCCGGGCUUUUGCCCGGUGCACUCUUCUGUAGGCAGGCCAGCAUCAGUUUGGGCGGUGGGAUAAAGGUCUCUGUCACGUACCUCUCUUCGGGGAGGCCUUAUAGGGGAGACGACAUACCACCAGCCUAGACUGAGGUCCGCGCAUCUGCUAGGAUGCUGGCGUAAUGGCUGUAAGCGGCCCGUCUUGAAACACGGACCAAGGAGUCUAACAUCUAUGCGAGUGUUUGGGUGUCAAGCCCGAGCGCGUAAUGAAAGUGAACGGAGGUGGGAACCCGCAAGGGUGCACCAUCGACCGAUCCUGAAGUUUUCGGAAGGAUUUGAGUAAGAGCAUGGCUGUUGGGACCCGAAAGAUGGUGAACUAUGCUUGAAUAGGGUGAAGCCAGAGGAAACUCUGGUGGAGGCUCGCAGCGGUUCUGACGUGCAAAUCGAUCGUCAAAUUUGGGCAUAGGGGCGAAAGACUAAUCGAACUAUCUAGUAGCUGGUUCCUGCCGAAG
rnacentral:rRNA from 1 species